CACUUUCCAGAAUAUCAUCAGCUUUGUUAGUAAUUACUAUAAUAAUAGUCAUUAUUGUCUUCCAUGGCAGGAGAAAUGAAGACUGAAACCCAGGACAGACUGGGAAUGGAACUGCUCGGGUCCUGUCUCAAGCCCUCAGGCUGCCUGCCUGCAGGACUGAUGCUCAUCUUGUCCCUCUCAGGGCCACUCUCAGGUUUCCAGGCUUUUUAUGGGUUCUGCAUCUUUUAAUGGACCCAGGAAGUCAUUAGGAGCCAUAAAGAUUAAGAAAAACAAAGGGAAAGAUUUUUCCCGAGUUGUAAAGCAUAAUCCUCCUUGGAAGUGUCCCACUAUUAAGAAAACUGUGACACUUGAAUUUGGACAGACAAGCAACCCAGCCACCUUUCAGAGUGGCUGUGUCAG
rnacentral:lncRNA from 1 species